AAACUUGAUUCUAAAUGAUAAUUCUGUAUUAGCUAGAUGUGAGUUCCUCAGAAAAUUAUUUCAUUUCUCUAUGCCUCAGUUUUUAGUCUUUAAAAUGAGAAUAUGACAUCUCUCUGAGUUAAUGAAAUAUUUGCUUUAAUAAAGAUAAAGAGCACACUGCUGACUGCAUUGUGAUGAAUUUGUAAAGAAUAUCUCUAUCAGAAUGAUUUAGUAAUAGUAAUAACAGAUAUUUUGCAUCUUUAGUUUUUAGGUUACAUGGCCAUGAGAUGCCACAUUUAGAACUUUGAACCGUAUUGGAAAUCACUCAGAGGUCCUGGAUUUGGGGUGGAUUCAUGAGCUGAAUGAACUUUUCCAGUUUUCUCCCUUGGAGGAUGGUGGCAAGAGCACUGUGCUUGUGAAUGGAAAGCAGGGUUACACAGUCUUGAUUACCAUAGCUUUAUGGUUAAAAGAAAACUGAAAUGGGAAGGAAAAUCAGCCAAACAUAAACAAAAAAGAAGACAAGAGAAGAGUGGAACAAAUCAGAGUUAAAAAAAUAAUUAUAGGCCCGG
rnacentral:lncRNA from 10 species